GUGCUCGCUUUGGCGGCACAUGUACUAAAAUUGGAACAACACAGAGAAGAUUAGCACUGCCCUGUGCAAAGACAACACGCAAAUUCCUGAAGCCUUCCAUAUUUUC
ensembl:snRNA U6 U6 spliceosomal RNA